UCCAAUCGACCCUCGGCGAGUAGAGUAAAAAUGGGACAACUGCAUUAAGAAACAAAGAUCAAAUUAGAAACACAAGCCAGACAAAAUCAAAUAAUAAAGCAUAGGUACUCCCACAAAAGUAACGUAGAUAGUUAUGAAAACAUAAGCAACUUAAAUACAUAAAUACAGUCGCAUGCAGUAAUAUCAAGCAGUAACUACCAUACUAAAACACUAAUCACCUAUGAGCCCCCCUAACCUACAAUCUUGAUUCUAGACCUCCAGACUCC
rnacentral:lncRNA from 1 species